CAAAAGGGAAGCUAGCCGGUGACGGUGCGCGAAUCCCAAAAAUAACGUCUCAGUUCGGAUUGUAGUCUGCAACUCGACUACAUGAAGCUGGAAUCGCUAGUAAUCGCGGAUCAGAAUGCCGCGGUGAAUACGUUCCCGGGUCUUGUACACACCGCCCGUCACACCAUGGGAGUCGGAAAUGCCCGAAGUCUGUGACCGAACCGAAAGGAAGGAGCAGCCGAAGGCAGGUCGGAUGACUGGGGUGAAGUCGUAACAAGGUAUC
rnacentral:rRNA from 1 species